GACGGAGGGGGCUAGCGUUGUUCGGAAUCACUGGGCGGAAAGGGCGCGUAGGCGGCUUCAGGUGUCGGAUGUGAAAGACUGGGGCUCAACCCCGGGGGUGCAUCCGAAACUAUGGGGCUGGAGGCCGGAAGAGGAGGGUGGAAUACCCAGUGUAGAGGUGAAAUUCGUAGAUAUUGGGUGGAACACCGGUGGCGAAAGCGGCUCUCUGGUCCGGUCCUGACGCUGAGGCGCGAAAGCGUGGGGAGCAAACAGG
rnacentral:rRNA from 1 species